UACGUAGGGAGCAAGCGUUGCUCGGAAUCACUGGGCGUAAAGGGUGCGUAGGCGGGUCUUUAAGUCAGGGGUGAAAUCCUGGAGCUCAACUCCAGAACUGCCUUUGAUACUGAGGAUCUUGAGUUCGGGAGAGGUGAGUGGAACUGCGAGUGUAGAGGUGAAAUUCGUAGAUAUUCGCAAGAACACCAGUGGCGAAGGCGGCUCACUGGCCCGAUACUGACGCUGAGGUGCGAAAGCGUGGGGAGCAAACAGG
rnacentral:rRNA from 1 species